UACGUAGGGGCCGAGCGUUGUCCGGAAUUACUGGGCGUAAAGGGCGCGUAGGCGGCCUUCUAAGUCGAACGUGAAAUCCCCGGGCUCAACCCGGGAACUGCGUCCGAUACUGGAAGGCUUGAAUCCGGGAGAGGGAUGCGGAAUUCCAGGUGUAGCGGUGAAAUGCGUAGAUAUCUGGAGGAACGCCGGUGGCGAAGGCGGCAUCCUGGACCGGCAUUGACGCUGAGGCGCGAAAGCCAGGGGAGCAAACGGG
rnacentral:rRNA from 1 species